rnacentral:lncRNA from 1 species
UUAGACAUUUACCGGACAAGUCAUUGUGUAAAGCGGAAAUCCUCUCUCAAAGGAACAAUUUAAAAGGGAGAACUUGUCUCGUGCGAGUCCUACAUUUUCACAAGAUAUCUCUUGUAAAGUUCCAGUUUACGUCCUUUUUCGUACAAGGUCUAUUUCAACAACGUGCUUCGAAUUUCAAUGAACUAUAAAAUAUUGCUUCUGGGUUUCUUCCUUUUUCUUGGAACAACUUCGUUGUCCGCCAAACCAAGACAAUGGAGAGCUGAGGAGGUGUUAAAUCGGCUUCAGCUUCUCUCUGAUGAGGCGAAUGAAAUCAGGUCCAAUAUAGAAGAUGAAGCACAAAAUACCAAGAGAGAGCCUCGACCGAGAUGUAGCGUUGGUCAUUUUUAUGGAGGAAAAUGUAACUCUGGAAGAAGAUAAUUUAAAAAUUUGAAACAAACCGAUUCAUCGAUUUA